AAAAAAGAGAGAUUGAUAAUUUUGAGUUAUCCAUGCUCUGUCCUUACUGUUACAAGUUGACUGGUUAAACGACUUCUUUCUUGGCAUAAUAGCCAUCCCAAGUUUGGGUUUGUGGGAGUCCUGAAGUGAGAAAGUUCUGACAUUGGCUCUUUCUGGGUGCCAGCAUUAUUAAAGUCUUGUAAUCUAUAGUUUUCACUCUUCCUUCCCAACACUGGAGCAACAUUCAGAGGCCCAUUCCCCAGGAAAACCCUCCCUUUCCUUUGCCCACAGUUCCAAGAUGAGAUGGGAUUCUCCAACAUGGAAGAUGAUGGCCCAGAAGAGGAGGAGCGUGUGGCUGAGCCUCGUCCUAACUUUAACACCCCUCAAGCUCUACGGUUUGAGGAACCACUGGCCAACCUGUUAAAUGAACAACAUCGGACAGUGAAGGAGCUAUUUGAACAGCUGAAGAUGAAGAAAUCUUCAGCCAAACAGCUGCAGGAAGUAGAGAAGGUUAAACCCCAGAGUGAGAAAGUUCAUCAGACUCUGAUUCUGGACCCAGCACAGAGGAAGAGACUCCAGCAGCAGAUGCAGCAGCACGUUCAGCUCUUGACCCAAAUCCACCUUCUUGCCACCUGCAACCCCAAUCUCAAUCCGGAGGCCAGUACCACCAGGAUAUUUCUU
rnacentral:sRNA from 1 species